rnacentral:rRNA from 1 species
GAAUAAUAGAAUAGGACGUGUGGUUCUAUUUUGUUGGUUUCUAGGACCGCCGUAAUGAUUAAUAGGGAUAGUCGGGGGCAUCAGUAUUCAAUUGUCAGAGGUGAAAUUCUUGGAUUUAUUGAAGACUAACUACUGCGAAAGCAUUUGCCAAGGAUGUUUUCAUUAAUCAGUGAACGAAAGUUAGGGGAUCGAAGACGAUCAGAUACCGUCGUAGUCUUAACCAUAAACUAUGCCGACUAGGGAUCGGGCGAUGUUAUCUUUUUGACUCGCUCGGCACCUUACGAGAAAUCAAAGUUUUUGGGUUCUGGGGGGAGUAUGGUCGCAAGGCUGAAACUUAAAGAAAUUGACGGAAGGGCACCACCAGGAGUGGAGCCUGCGGCUUAAUUUGACUCAACACGGGGAAACUCACCAGGUCCAGACACAAUAAGGAUUGACAGAUUGAGAGCUCUUUCUUGAUUUUGUGGGUGGUGGUGCAUGGCCGUUCUCAGUUGGUGGAGUG